rnacentral:rRNA from 1 species
GACGGAGGAUGCAAGCGUUAUCCGGAAUUAUUGGGCGUAAAGCGUCCGCAGGUGGACAUACAAGUCUGCUGUCAAAGUGCAGAGCUUAACUCUGUAAAGGCGGUGGAAACUGUAGGUCUUGAGUAUGGUAGGGGUAGAGGGAAUUCCCGGUGUAGCGGUGAAAUGCGUAGAUAUCGGGAAGAACACCAGUGGCGAAAGCGCUCUACUGGGCCAUAACUGACACUGAGGGACGAAAGCUAGGGGAGCAAAUGGG